rnacentral:snoRNA from 1 species
UCUCUCCAGAUUUCUUACCCCUCGGACCUAAAUAUUGGUCUGAGUGGCUAAAAAUAAUAAGGAGGAAAGGUGAAACUAAGAUGGACUUGAAGUCUUUAGUGACAUACAAGUUCAUUUCAAACUUAU